UAGGGAAUCUUCGGCAAUGGGGGCAACCCUGACCGAGCAACGCCGCGUGAGUGAAGAAGGUUUUCGGAUCGUAAAGCUCUGUUGUAAGUCAAGAACGGGUGUGAGAGUGGAAAGUUCACACUGUGACGGUAGCUUACCAGAAAGGGACGGCUAACUACGUGCCAGCAGCCGCGGUAAUACGUAGGUCCCGAGCGUUGUCCGGAUUUAUUGGGCGUAAAGCGAGCGCAGGCGGUUUGAUAAGUCUGAAGUUAAAGGCUGUGGCUCAACCAUAGUUCGCUUUGGAAACUGUCAAACUUGAGUGCAGAAGGGGAGAGUGGAAUUCCAUGUGUAGUGGUGAAAUGCGUAGAUAUAUGGAGGAACACCGGUGGCGAAAGCGGCUCUCUGGUCUGUAACUGACGCUGAGGCUCGAAAGCGUGGGGAGCGAACAGGAUUAGAUACCCUGGUAGUCCACGCCGUAAACGAUGAGUGCUAGGUGUUGGAUCCUUUCCGGGAUUCAGUGCCGCAGCUAACGCAUUAAGCACUCCGCCUGGGGAGUACGACCGCAAGGUUGAAAC
rnacentral:rRNA from 1 species